CACUUUCUCAAGCUCCUGAGUCUUGGUGUAAUUGUUUUCAAAGUCAGCUUUGACCUUCCAAGGUGGAUUGCUUCCAUUUAAUGAGCACAACUUCCUUUAAGGAACAUCAGAGCUGGGCACUGAGUCAGAUCAUCGUGUUGCUAAAGUCUUAACAAUGACUUUAGAAGAGAAAUGUAUCUUGGGAACAAGAGGAAUGUGGUUAUACAAAGGGAAGGGCUGCCUCUACAUCUGUGAAGUUAAAAAUGGGGAAAUGUUGGGCUCAGAUUUGUUUCUUACAAGGCAGCGAAAUAACUCGGAUGACAUUUAAACGGAAAAGGGACCAGAGAGCCCUGGACCUGAAAAACCUUCCCAAUGAAAACUUGGUUGAAACUGGUACGUCUCCGUGAAAUAUUUCUGCUUCAAUGAAGUCAUGUUUCCAAAAGUGUUCCAGCCAGCGGUAGUGUACAGCACCUCACACAAUGGGUUCUUGAUCUCAGUUGCGGUUUCUAGGUGCUUUUGUAAUAUAACAAAAUCAUGAUAAUAAUUUACUUACCUGAAGGCUCUGAAAACCAGUGCGUCCAAUACAGCAGCAACCAAGCUAUAUAGUUUGAAUGAGAUUUUCAAAAACACUCGAUGUUGGCCUAACACCGCUCCCAUGGAAGUCAACAGAAGCUUUACCAUGGAAGUUGCAUCCUUGAUUUCAGCAGGAGAGAUAGCAGGCCAUUGCUGAGUGCUUUUGCAAAUCCCACCUUUUUCCUUUAAAUUACAGUAGAAUGCCGAUUUUAUGAACACGGAUCUUCUGAACAACCAGUGAAAUGAACCAUUUUUAUCCUCCAUCAACAAGGGUAUGUGUCUAUGAACUUGAGUAGAGAUCACGUGAACUCAGAGAGUAUGUAUCUUUACCACUGGUGAAAGUAUCUUAGUAGCAGAUGAGUCAUGUCUGGGAAAUGUUGUGUGUCAUGCUGAGAGAUUGGUGGCAAAGAAGAGAUGCAGUUCUCUUAAACAAAGAAAAAUCAAUAAUUUAUUUCACCAGGGGACUACAGGAUCCCUAUCGCAUGUACAUACAGUAGUGUGUGAUGCAGCGCAGUCCAUAUGCAAGAUAGGUAUAUGGUAUACAUUUGUUGCCAUCUUCAUGUACACUGUCACUGAAUAAUUAAAUUAAUUUAUGCACCAUACCUACUGAA